rnacentral:rRNA from 1 species
GAUGAACGCUGGCGGCGUGCCUAAUACAUGCAAGUCGAGCGAACAGACGAGGAGCUUGCUCCUCUGACGUUAGCGGCGGACGGGUGAGUAACACGUGGAUAACCUACCUAUAAGACUGGGAUAACUUCGGGAAACCGGAGCUAAUACCGGAUAAUAUAUUGAACCGCAUUGUUCAAUAGUGGAAGACGGUUUUGCUGUCACUUAUAGAUGGAUCCGCGCCGCAUUAGCUAGUUGGUAAGGUAACGGCUUACCAAGGCGACGAUGCGUAGCCGACCUGAGAGGGUGAUCGGCCACACUGGAACUGAGACACGGUCCAGACUCCUACGGGAGGCAGCAGUAGGGAAUCUUCCGCAAUGGGCGAAAGCCUGACGGAGCAACGCCGCGUGAGUGAUGAAGGUCUUCGGAUCGUAAAACUCUGUUAUUAGGGAAGAACAAAUGUGUAAGUAACUAUGCACGUCUUGACGGUACCUAAUCAGAAAGCCACGGCUAACUACGUG